CUUUGUCACCGUUUGCCCCUUAAAGAAAUACCAUUUAUUUUUAUUACUAUGUCUACUUCUAUUUCUAGAGUACAGUUGUUAAUUAACUGUAAUUCACAAUUUAGUGAAUAAACCCAAUUUUCGUGUUUUAAAGUGGUUUUCUCUCUCUCUAACACCCUCUCGCCUUUUCUUUAUUCUGAGCAGGGCUGGACAAGGUCCCAGUAUAUCCACUGAACUCAGAUAGCACCUUGUUUUUCAAUAUAGGAGAGGUGAGCAACAUGGGAGUAUGAAUUCUGGAAGAGAGCACACCCUGUCUGCAUCCUUUAGUUUGUCCCGAGCAGCUAGUCUUAAGAGAUGGAGUACUGGGAGCAGAUGCCUACCUAGGUUACAUGCAAGGCUGUUUG